rnacentral:rRNA from 1 species
AGCGUUGUUCGGAAUUACUGGGCGUAAAGGGCUCGUAGGCGGCCAACUAAGUCAGACGUGAAAUCCCUCGGCUUAACCGGGGAACUGCGUCUGAUACUGGAUGGCUGGAGUUUGGGAGAGGGAUGCGGAAUUCCAGGUGUAGCGGUGAAAUGCGUAGAUAUCUGGAGGAACACCGGUGGCGAAGGCGGCAUCCUGGACCAAUACUGACGCUGAGGAGCGAAAGCCAGGGGAGCAAACGGG